GUGCCCACUUCGGCAGCACCUAUACUAUAAUUGGAACAAUACAGAGAAGAUUAGCAUGAUCCCUGCACAAGGAUGACAUGCAAAUUUCAUAUUUAAAAAAAAAUUUU